GACGAACGCUGGCGGCUUGCCUAAUACAUGCAAGUCGAACGCUUCUUUCCUCCCGAGUGCUUGCACUCAAUUGGAAAGAGGAGUGGCGGACGGGUGAGUAACACGUGGGUAACCUACCCAUCAGAGGGGGAUAACACUUGGAAACAGGUGCUAAUACCGCAUAACAGUUUAUGCCGCAUGGCAUAAGAGUGAAAGGCGCUUUCGGGUGUCGCUGAUGGAUGGACCCGCGGUGCAUUAGCUAGUUGGUGAGGUAACGGCUCACCAAGGCCACGAUGCAUAGCCGACCUGAGAGGGUGAUCGGCCACACUGGGACUGAGACACGGCCCAGACUCCUACGGGAGGCAGCAGUAGGGAAUCUUCGGCAAUGGACGAAAGUCUGACCGAGUAACGCCGCGUGAGUGAAGAAGGUUUUCGGAUCGUAAAACUCUGUUGUUAGAGAAGAACAAGGACGUUAGUAACUGAACGUCCCCUGACGGUAUCUAACCAGAAAGCCACGGCUAACUACGUG
rnacentral:rRNA from 1 species